rnacentral:rRNA from 1 species
UCCAGACUCCUACGGGAGGCAGCAGUGGGGGAUAUUGCACAAUGGGGGGAACCCUGAUGCAGCGACGCCGCGUGGGUGAAGGAGCGUUUCGGCGCGUAAAGCCCUAUCGGCAGGGAAGAAGGAGGACGGUACCUGACUAAGAAGCCCCGGCUAACUACGUGCCAGCAGCCGCGGUAAUACGUAGGGAGCAAGCGUUAUCCGGAUUUACUGGGUGUAAAGGGGGCGCAGACGGCGAUGCAAGCCAGGAGUGAAAGCCCGGGGCCCAACCCCGGGACUGCUCUUGGAACUGCGUGGCUGGAGUGCAGGAGGGGCAGGCGGAAUUCCUGGGGUAGCGGUGAAAUGCGUAGAUAUCAGGAGGAACACCGGUGGCGAAGGCGGCCUGCUGGACUGCAACUGACGUUGAGGCUCGAAAGCGUGGGGAGCAAACAGGAUUAGAUACCCCGGUA